CCUACGGGAGGCAGCAGUAGGGAAUAUUGGGCAAUGGAGGCAACUCUGACCCAGCCAUGCCGCGUGCAGGAAGAAGGCGUUAUGCGUUGUAAACUGCUUUUAUAUAGGAAGAAAUAGUCCUUGCGAGGAAAGUUGACGGUACUAUAUGAAUAAGCACCGGCUAACUCCGUGCCAGCAGCCGCGGUAAUACGGAGGGUGCAAGCGUUGUCCGGAUUUAUUGGGUUUAAAGGGUGCGUAGGCGGUUUAUUAAGUCAGUGGUGAAAGACGGUCGCUCAACGAUUGCAGUGCCAUUGAUACUGGUAGACUUGAGUGGGAUUGAGGUAGCUGGAAUGGAUAGUGUAGCGGUGAAAUGCAUAGAUAUUAUCCAGAACACCAAUUGCGUAGGCAAGUUACUAAGUCUCAACUGACGCUGAGGCACGAAAGUGUGGGUAUCAAACAGGAUUAGAUACCCUGGUAGUCCACACUGUAAACGAUGAUAACUAACUGUUGGCUUUCGGGUCAGUGGUACAGAGAAAUCGUUAAGUUAUCCACCUGGGGAGUACGCCGGCAACGGUGAAACUCAAAGUAUAGUCGGCGNGNGAGAGCGACGACGACGACGACGGAGGGAGGAG
rnacentral:rRNA from 1 species